CCUACGGGAGGCAGCAGUGAGGAAUAUUGGUCAAUGGGCGUGAGCCUGAACCAGCCAAGUAGCGUGAGGGAUGACUGCCCUAUGGGUUGUAAACCUCUUUUAUAAGGGAAUAAAGUGAGGCACGUGUGCCUUUUUGUAUGUACCUUAUGAAUAAGGAUCGGCUAACUCCGUGCCAGCAGCCGCGGUAAUACGGAGGAUCCGAGCGUUAUCCGGAUUUAUUGGGUUUAAAGGGAGCGUAGGUGGGUUGUUAAGUCAGUUGUGAAAGUUUGCGGCUCAACCGUAAAAUUGCAGUUGAAACUGGAAGUCUUGAGUACGGUAGAGGUGGGCGGAAUGCGUGGUGUAGCGGUGAAAUGCUUAGAUAUCACGAAGAACCCCGAUUGCGAAGGCAGCCCGCCGGACCGUAACUGACGCUGAGGCUCGAAAGUGUGGGUAUCAAACAGGAUUAGAUACCCGUGUAGUC
rnacentral:rRNA from 1 species